rnacentral:rRNA from 1 species
GAUGAACGCUGGCGGCGUGCCUAAUACAUGCAAGUCGAGCGAACAGACGAGGAGCUUGCUCCUCUGACGUUAGCGGCGGACGGGUGAGUAACACGUGGAUACCCUACCUAUAAGACUGGGAUAACUUCGGGAAACCGGCGCUAAUACCGGAUAAUAUAUUGAACCGCAUGGUUCAAUAGUGAAAGACGGUUUUGCUGUCACUUAUAGAUGGAUCUGCGCGGCAUUAGCUAGUUGGUAAGGUAACGGCUUACCAAGGCAACGAUGCGUAGCCGACGUGAGAGGGUGAUCGGCCACACUGGAACUGAGACACGGUCCAGACGCCUACGGGAGGCAGCAGUAGGGAAUCUGCCGCAAUGGGCGAAAGCCUGACGGAGCAACGCGGCGUGAGUGAUGAAGGUCUUCGGAUCGUAAAACUCUGUUAUUAGGGAAGAACAGAUGUGUACGUAACUAUGCACGUCUUGACGGUACCUAAUCAGAAAGCCACGGCUAACUACGUG